rnacentral:piRNA from 1 species
UCCGGAGGACAGUGUACUUUGUUUCCGGA